rnacentral:rRNA from 2 species
GAUUGGUGCUUGCAUCAUGAUUUACAUUUGAGUGAGUGGCGAACUGGUGAGUAACACGUGGGAAACCUGCCCAGAAGCGGGGGAUAACACCUGGAAACAGAUGCUAAUACCGCAUAACAACUUGGACCGCAUGGUCCGAGCUUGAAAGAUGGCUUCGGCUAUCACUUUUGGAUGGUCCCGCGGCGUAUUAGCUAGAUGGUGGGGUAACGGCUCACCAUGGCAAUGAUACGUAGCCGACCUGAGAGGGUAAUCGGCCACAUUGGGACUGAGACACGGCCCAAACUCCUACGGGAGGCAGCAGUAGGGAAUCUUCCACAAUGGACGAAAGUCUGAUGGAGCAACGCCGCGUGAGUGAAGAAGGGUUUCGGCUCGUAAAACUCUGUUGUUAAAGAAGAACAUAUCUGAGAGUAACUGUUCAGGUAUUGACGGUAUUUAACCAGAAAGCCACGGCUAACUACGUGCCAGCAGCCGCGGUAAUACGUAGGUGGCAAGCGUUGUCCGGAUUUAUUGGGCGUAAAGCGAGCGCAGGCGGUUUUUUAAGUCUGAUGUGAAAGCCUUCGGCUCAACCGAAGAAGUGCAUCGGAAACUGGGAAACUUGAGUGCAGAAGAGGACAGUGGAACUCCAUGUGUAGCGGUGAAAUGCGUAGAUAUAUGGAAGAACACCAGUGGCGAAGGCGGCUGUCUGGUCUGUAACUGACGCUGAGGCUCGAAAGUAUGGGUAGCAAACAGGAUUAGAUACCCUGGUAGUCCAUACCGUAAACGAUGAAUGCUAAGUGUUGGAGGGUUUCCGCCCUUCAGUGCUGCAGCUAACGCAUUAAGCAUUCCGCCUGGGGAGUACGGCCGCAAGGCUGAAACUCAAAGGAAUUGACGGGGGCCCGCACAAGCGGUGGAGCAUGUGGUUUAAUUCGAAGCUACGCGAAGAACCUUACCAGGUCUUGACAUACUAUGCAAAUCUAAGAGAUUAGACGUUCCCUUCGGGGACAUGGAUACAGGUGGUGCAUGGUUGUCGUCAGCUCGUGUCGUGAGAUGUUGGGUUAAGUCCCGCAACGAGCGCAACCCUUAUUAUCAGUUGCCAGCAUUAAGUUGGGCACUCUGGUGAGACUGCCGGUGACAAACCGGAGGAAGGUGGGGAUGACGUCAAAUCAUCAUGCCCCUUAUGACCUGGGCUACACACGUGCUACAAUGGAUGGUACAACGAGUUGCGAACUCGCGAGAGUAAGCUAAUCUCUUAAAGCCAUUCUCAGUUCGGAUUGUAGGCUGCAACUCGCCUACAUGAAGUCGGAAUCGCUAGUAAUCGCGGAUCAGCAUGCCGCGGUGAAUACGUUCCCGGGCCUUGUACACACCGCCCGUCACACCAUGAGAGUUUGUAACACCCAAAGUCGG